CCUACUGGUGGCAGCAGUGAGGAAUAUUGGUCCAUGGGCGCGAGCCUGAACCAGCCAAGUAGCGUGAAGGAUGACUGCCCUACGGGUUGUAAACUUCUUUUAUAAAGGAAUAAAGUGAGGCACGUGUGCCUUUUUGUAUGUACUUUAUGAAUAAGGAUCGGCUAACUCCGUGCCAGCAGCCGCGGUAAUACGGAGGAUCCGAGCGUUAUCCGGAUUUAUUGGGUUUAAAUGGUUCGUAGAUGGGUUGUUAAGUCAGUUGUUAAAGUUUGCGGCUCAAACGUAAAAUUGCAAUUGAUACUGGCAGGCUUGAGUACAGUUGAGGUAGGCGGAAUUCGUGGUGUAGCGGUGAAAUGCUUAGAUAUCACGAAGAACUCCGAUUGCGAAGGCAGCUUACUAAACUGACACUGACAUUGAUGCUCGAAAGUGUGGGUAUCAAACAGGAUUAGAUACCCCGGUAGUC
rnacentral:rRNA from 1 species